ensembl:miRNA predicted gene, 27700
AGUUACAGAUAGCUGUGAGCCACCAUCUGGGUACUGGAAGCCAAGCCUGGGUCCUCUGUAAGUGCUCUUAACUGAUGAGCC